UGGGGAAUCUUGCGCAAUGGGGGAAACCCUGACGCAGCAACGCCGCGUGGGUGAUGAAGGCCUUCGGGUCGUAAAGCCCUGUCAGGUGGGAAGAAACUUGUGGAUGUUAAUACCAUCCAUGCUUGACGGUACCACCGGAGGAAGCACCGGCUAACUCCGUGCCAGCAGCCGCGGUAAUACGGAGGGUGCAAGCGUUGUUCGGAAUUAUUGGGCGUAAAGCGCGCGUAGGUGGUCGUGUAAGUCAGAUGUGAAAGCCUUCUGCUUAACAGAAGAAGGGCAUUUGAAACUGCUCGACUAGAGUACGGGAGAGGAGAGUGGAAUUCCCGGUGUAGAGGUGAAAUUCGUAGAUAUCGGGAGGAACACCAGUGGCGAAGGCGGCUCUCUGGUCCGAUACUGACACUGAGACGCGAAAGCGUGGGGAGCAAACAGGAUUAGAUACCCUGGUAGUCCACGCCGUAAACGAUGGGCACUAGGUGUAGGAGGUAUUGACCCCUUCUGUGCCGAAGCUAACGCAUUAAGUGCCCCGCCUGGGGAGUACGGCCGCAAGGCUA
rnacentral:rRNA from 1 species